ACUUAGCUUGUCACAUAGGUGUAUUCUUCCUGGAACCGAUGCGGGGUCAGAAAACUGAUGGCUUUUAAGCAAGCUGGACGGGUCCUCUCAGCGCAUUCCCCCACCCGCCUGGCGCCAAUGGAGCUGGCCUGGCCCGCCCAGCCCCUCCCCGCCCCGUCCGCGCUCGGACCGGACUUUCAGGACUGCAGGGGAAAGGGUGGACACCCAGCCUCCCGCCAGGUCAGAGCAGAGGCUAAAAAUGGCCCAGGGGAGACUGCUGGAGUUGCAUGGAGUUCGGGAGCCUAGGAGGGGUCUGAAAAUAACUGUCAAAAAGUUUGAAGGGUGUGUGUUGGCUUGGGGAAAAAAGAGGGUGGAGUGCAUUACAUAAAACUUUUGCAGCUUGUAUUUCCUUUUUUUUUUUUUAUGUUUAAGGACGGCGGAGAUACCUUCAACGUAAGACUGCAAUCAUAAUUAAAACAUGAAUAGUAACAUUUUAAGUUCGUUGUGCCAUUAUGAACUCAUGUUAGUGUUGGACAUUCUAUGAUCCCAGUCCUGUUUAGGCAACGUUAUUGAGGGAUUUAGUUUGCGGAUCUACCUUUCAGGGACAAAGAACCUAGACAGGGAAAGAACAGUAACUUUUGACAGAAAUUUUGCUUCCUGUGAGAUGUGGUUAUUCUCUUCCUUUCACAUCUGUUUGUAGUUCUUUUAGUUUUCCCAGGCAUUAAAUAAAUUAAACCCUCUUUCUUGGAAUCACCAAUAUAUUAAUAUAUUGGGGGGAAAAAGAUUUGAAUUACUUAGGAAGUUGAUGAACUACCCACUCCAACAAUAGAGCCCUGAAAAUCAGGCUUAAGCUUUUGGCCAUACUACUAAAGACUAUCCCUCCUGACAAACACACACCCUCUUUUUUUUUUUUUUUUUUUAACUGGUUGACAGAUCUUUUUUGCAUCAUCACCAUUUUCAGUUUAGAUUCUUACUAGGUGGGAUAAAUUUCACCAUUCUAAUAUCAGCCAUCACCAUUAUGCCUGGUGAAAAAUACAGAAUGUCUGGGCUGCAUCCUCAGAGUGUCUAAUUCGGUGUUUAUGGGAAAGGGACCCAGGAGAAUCUGCAUACCCAGCAAUCCAUGUUUUCAGGGUUGUGGCUUGGGAAAGAACUGUUCCAGACUUCUGCACUUCCUAAGGACCUAUUUUGUAGAUGUUGCAGUGGACGGAAUGUUUGUGCUUUCCCUUAAAUUCAUUUGUUAAAAUCCUAACCCCAAUGUGAUGGUAUUAGGAGAUGGGGCCUUUGGGAGGUAAUUCAUAGCAUAGAGGCCGCAUGAAUGCGAUUAGUGCCCUUAUAAAAAAGGGACCCAGAGAGCUGUCUCCAUCUUUCUGCCACAGGAGGAUACAAAAAUACAUCAGUUUGCAAACCAGAAGAAGGUCCUCACCAGAAACCAACUAUGCUGGCACCCUGAUCUUGGACUUCUAGCCUCCAGAACUGUGAGAAAUAAAUGUGUGUUUAUAAACCAGUCAGUCAGUCUAUGGUGCUUUAUUAUAGCAUCUGGAACGAGCUAAGACAGCUGCUAAGUAGCAUUCCAUUUGACAAGGAAGACUUACCAUUCACACUACUUCUGAGUUCAAUGAAAGAGAGGCUCGGUAAGUUUUAAAAAUCAAAUUUCAAUGACUUAGUCUAAUUCUCAUUAAUAAUUUAAAUUAUUUUUCUAAGAUAUGUUUUACAUCUUCUAAAAAUUUACCGGUUUGUUAUAAGCAUAUCCAAUUAAUGCUUGAGAUUUUACCUGAUUAGAUCUGCACUUUUACAUCCAACAUUUGCAGGAAGCUUCAUUCUACCAGUUCAAAUCCAGAUUUACAGGUAGUUAACCCAUCUGUUUUGGGUUUUUUUUCUGCUUCUAUUUCAUAGAAGGCUAGAGCUGCUGGAGAAAAAUGUAUAACCUUGAUGACUGAAUGCCUUACAAUCUUUGAUUUAAACUCGGCUGAGUCGUAAUGUCUCUAAAAUCCUUCUAUUCAUAUAGUCAGUGUUCUCUUUUAUUCUCUGUAUUUGUUGUCUGAACUGUCAUCAUUAUCCUAAAGUUACCAAAUUCAUCACUUGAACAUGUUACUUUGCCUUCUACAUGACCCAGAAAAUCAUAGGCCAUCAAAUAUGAACAUUCAUUUUUCUUUCCUUUUUCUCUUCAAUCUACAUCAAGUUGCUCUCCCUACCUUGCUUUAGAAGGAGGUCUUUAUUCCUGUCCAUGCCUUUCUUCCAGAUUUUCUUUUGAUAGUCUAAUUAUGUUGUCUGUGACUUGCCAGCUUUAUUAUUCCUCUCUGUUCCUUUUCACUAUAUUUCCUUUCCUCUUAUCCUUCCUCUAUCAGCCACAUAAGUCACUCAGCCUUAAAAAAAGCUUGCUUAUAUGCCAUGCCUGCUUUUUCACGCUACCUUUUGCCUCAUUAAAAAAAAAAAACUUUAUUCAUAUGUAAUUUAAGUACUGUAAAAUUCACGUGUUAAAAUUAUAUAGUUCACCUGAUAACAAUUCAGGGUUAUAAAGCCAUCAUCAAAAUGUAAUCUUUGAACCUGAGCAUUUCCAUCACCACAAAAAGAAACUUUUUACCAUCUGUAGUCACUCCCCAGUCACACUUGCAGCCCUAGGCAACCACUAGUCUAUUUCUGCCUCGGUGGAUUUGCCUUUUAUAGACAUUUCAUAUAAUGCUUGGUCUUUGGGGUCUGGCUUCUUUCACUUAAUGUUUCUGAGGCUUCUUCAUGUUGUAACAUGUAUUGGUACUUCAUUCCUUCUUACCACCAAAUAACAUUACUUUGUAUAAGAUAUACCACAUUUUAUUGAUCCGUUCAUCCAUUGAUGGAUAUUUGGAUUGUUCAUACCUUGCAGCUAUUGUGAAUAAUGUAGGAACAUCUAGGUAAUUAAGUUUUUUUGUUGACCUGUUUUCAUUUCACAUAUAUACAUAGAAGUGAAACUGCUGGGUCAAAAUGGUGGCUUUCAAUGUACAAAAAGGUUUAAUUUUGAUGAAGUCCAAAUUUAUCAAUAUUUUUAUCACAUCCGUGCUUUGCAUUGUAUCUAAGAAAUCACUGACUAAUCCAAAGUUCGAAGAUUAACUAUUAUGUUUUUUCUAUGAGUUUUAUUUUAUUUAGCUCUUAUAUUAGGUCUUUGAUCUAACAUAGGACUUUGAUCUAAUAUAGGUCUAAUAUAGAUCUUUGAUCUUAUAUAGGUCUUUGAUCUAUGUUGGGUUAAUUUUCAGGUUUGAUGUGAGGAAGUGGUCCAAAUUCAUUCUUUUAUGUGUGGCUAUCCAGUUGUUCCAGCACCAUUUAUUGAAAAGAUGAUUUUUCCCCCAUUGUCUUUGCAUCUUUAUCAAAAAUUAAUUGACCUUAAAUACAAGGUUUUAUUUCUGGACUCUCAAUUCUAUUCCUAAACCCAUGCCAAUACCAUGCUAUCUCGAUUACUGUAGCUUUGUAGUAAGUUUUGAAAUUGGAAAGUGUGAGUCUUCCCAUUUUGUUCUUCAUUUUGAAGAUUGUUUUGGCUAUUUUGAAUCCUUUUCAUUCCAUAUGAAUUUUAGGAUUACCUUGUCAAUUUCUUCAAAGAAAAAAGUCAGUUGUAAUUUUGAUAGGGAUUGCAUUAAAUCAGUAGAUCAAUAUGGGAAGUAUUGCUAUAUCUUCUAUAAACAAAAGGAUGUCUUUCCAUUUAGGUAGAUCUUCAGUUGCUUUCAGCAAUGUUUUGUGCUUUUCAUUGUAUAAAUCUUGUACUUUUUUGUGACAUACAUUAAUAAGUGUUUUAUUUUUUGUUGAUAUUGUGAAUAGAUUUUUUUUAGAUUGCCAUUGCUAGUAUACAGAAAUAAAAUUGAUUUUUGAAUACUGUUCUUGUAUCUUACAACCUUGCUGGACUCAUUAAUAAAUUCUAUUCAUUGUUAAAUGGAUUUCUUAACAUUUUCUCUAUAUAAGUACAUGUUUUCUGUAAAUAAAGGUGGUUUUGUUUUUUCCCUUCCAAUUCAGGUGCCUUUUUUUCUUGCCUAAUUGCCCUGGUUAGAACUUUCAGUACAAUAUUAAAUAGAAGUUGUGAGAGCAGAUAUCGUUUUAUUCCUGAAUUUGGAGAAAAUGCAUUGAGUCUUUCACAAUUAAAUAUGAUAUUAUACAUCGUUUUUUUGUAGAUGCCCUUACUCUAGUUUAGGAAGCACCAUUCUAUUCCUAAUUUCUAAUUUUUUUGUCAUAAAUGACGUUAGAUUUUGUCAAAUGCUUUUUCUGCUUCUGUUGAUAUAAUAUUGUGCUUUUUGUCCUUUAUCCUGUUAAUAUAGUGUUUGCAUUAAUUAAUAUUUGUAUAUUAAAUGAACCUUGCCUUCCUUAGAUAACCUUCAGAAUGUAUAAUAUGAUGCUUGAUUUGGUUUGUUGGUAUUCUGUUGAUUAUUUUUUGUCUAUAUUCAUAAUAGAUAUUACAUUGGUUUAUACUUUUCUUCCCUUGUGAUAUCCUCGUCUGGCUUUGGUAUUUGGGUAAUACUGGCCUUUGACAAUGAAUUGAGAAGUAUGCCAUCCUUUUCACUUUUUUGGAAGAGUUUCUGAAGGAUUGUUACUAAUCAUUCUUUAAAUGUUUGGUAGAAUUCACCAUUGAAGCCAUCUGGCUCUAGGCUUUUCUUUCUGGUAAUAUUUUAAAUUACUAUAAUCAUUUACCAUAUAUAUAUAUAUAUUUUUUUUUUUUUCUAUUUCUCCUUGUGUCAGUCAGUUUUGGUAGUUUUGUCUUUCUAGGAAUUUGUUCAUUUAAUGUAAGUCAUCUAAUUUGUUGUUCAUAGUAUUCCUUUAUAAUCCUGUUCAUUUCUCUGAUUUAUAUUAAUAUCAGCUCUUUUACUCCUAAUUUUAGUAAUUUGAGUCAUCUCUGUUUUUUUCUUGCUCGAUCUAAAUCUUUGUCAAUUUUGUUGCUCCUUGCAGAGAGCCAACUUGAGGUUUCAUUAAUGAGGUUUCUCUAAUGUUUUUCUAUUUCCUAUUCCAUUAAUAUCCAUGCUAAUCUUUAUAAUUUCCUUCUAUUUGUUUUGUGUUUAGUAUCUUCUAUUUCCCCCCGCCGCCCCCCAACCUCCCUAGUUUCAUAAGGCAGAAGGUUAGGCUAUUGAUUUGAAAUCUUCUUUUUUUUUAAUAAUAUAGGUUUUUACAGCUACAUACCUCAUUAGUUCUGUCCCACAAAUUUUGGUAUAUUGUACUUUAGUUUUUAUUUAUCUCAAAGUAAUUUUCCUUAUGACUUAUUAUUUGACUCAUUGGCUAUUUAGGAGUAUGUUGUUUAAUUUCCACAUGUUUGUGAAUUUCCCAAAUUUCUUUGUGUUUUUGACUUCUAACUUAAUUUUACUGUAGUUAGAGAACAUACUUGGUACAAUUCCCCCAUCCUUUCAAAAUCAUUGAGUUUUUUUAUGGCCUAGUUUAUAGUCUAUCCUGGAUAAUAUUCCAUUUCCUUCAUUUUUAAGGCCUUCCAUUCAUCACUGAAUUUCUUGAAAAUCCAUAUUUGCUGCCUCUCUUAAGCUCCUACCCAAGCUCACUCUCAGCAAAUUGUCAUCCAUUCAUUCAGCUUUAGUAAAUGCCUACUCAGCACUAAGAUAGAGAGUCCCUAUUUCUAUGGCACUUUCAAGCUGAUGUUACACUCCCAAAGAUCACCAGUGCCAGCACAAGAUGUUUUUGUGCGAUUAGAAAGAGAUACCCCUGCAAAUAGACACAUUACAAAAAGGCAUCUCUAAUCCAAAAAUGAAAUUAAGAAAAUAAUUCCAUUUAUAGUAGCAUCAAAAAGACAAAAAUACUUAGAAAUAAAUCUAUCCAAGGAGGAGCAAGACAUUUACUGAAAAAUACAAAACAUAAUUGAAAGAAGUUAAAGAAAAUCUAAAUAAAUGGAAAGACAUCCCAUAUACAUGGACUAGAAAACUUAAUAUUGUUAAAAUGGCAAUUCAGAAAUCAAUAUACAGAUGCAAUACACUCCCUAUCAAAAUUCCCCUGUUUUAUUUACAGAUAUGGAAAAUCCCAUCCUCAAAUUCAUAUAGAAUUGCAAGGAACCCCAAAGAACCAACACAAUAUUUAAAAAGAAAAACAGAGUUGGGGGACUCAUACUUCCCAAUUUCAAAACUUUCUUCAAAGCUACAGUAAUCAAAAACCGUAGUACUGGCGUAAGAAUAGAUGUACAGAUUGAUGAAAUAUAAUUCAGGGUUCAGAAGUAAACACAUACAUUUAGGGAAAACAGACUGAUUUUCAACAAUGAUGCCCAGGCCAUUUAAUGGGGAAAAAUAGUGGCUUCAAUAAAUGGUGCAGUAACAACUCCAUAUUCACAUACAAAAGAAUGAGAUUAAACCCUUACCUCACACCGUGGACAGAAAUGAACUCAGAAUAGAUUAAAGACAUAAGUGUAUGACUUAAAACUAUUAAAUUCCUAGAAGAAAACAUAAGGUGAAUCUUCAUGAUCUUGGAAUUGGCAGUGGACUCAGAGAUUACACCAAAGGCAUAAACAACAAAUUUGCUUCAUUACUAAUAAGAGGAAUGCAAAUAUCUGCCAAUAAAUACCAUUUUCUUCUAUCAGGAUGGUGAAGAUCAAAAAGUUUCAAGCCAUUUUGCUAACAGUGGGUGGAAACUACCACUUUCAUAUAUUACUAGUAGGGGAGCGAAUAAUGGUACUACCGUUUUGCAGGAUCAUCAAAGAGGGUCAUUUUGCAGGAUCUAUCAACAUUUUUAAAGCACACUCCUUUUGACUCAGUGUCCUCACUUCUUGAUAUUUAUCCUACUGAUGUAUGAAAUGAUGCAAUUUUCUAUUUGCAAUAGCAAAAUGUUGAAAAUAACCUAAGUGGUGACUAAUAAGGAAAUGAUUAAAUACAAUAUGACAUGUCUAUAUAAUGGAAUAUUAUUCAGCCAUUAAAAAUAACUACACAGUUCCUGGUAUAACUGAUUAUGAAAGAAUCUUGAGAAAAGUAUUUUUAAGGGGGAAAGGAAGAUAUAGAACACCACAUGUCGUAUGCUUCAAUUUUUGAAAACAAUGUGAAGUAUGUGUAGUUAUCCACAUACAAAUAAAACAUUUCUGUUAGUAUAUAUAAGAACCUAGUAAUGGUGGUUGCUUUCUGAGAAAAGAAGUGGGUGGCUUAGGGUGUGAUGAGAGAGAGCCUUAAUUUUCACUGUGUGUAUAAUAUGCAUGUAUCACCUAUUCGAAAAUGAUUUUUUAAGUUAAAAAGGACCUGUUUCCCAUAAGCCCAUUCUAUCUUGUAGGAGCUUGCUAGACUGUCCACUGCCAAUCUGACUGUCAUUCAGCUCCUAUGAAAGGCAUUUGAGAUAGACUGCAUUUCUCAAUCAUCAGUAAGAAAAAUGUGAUCUUUCUUAAGUUGUCUAAGAGUUACAGGCAUAUCAAGUUAGGUCAUCUGCAGUCAGUAUACCUAAGGCAUGUCUCAUCAUUGAGAACAUGGGCCCUUAGUCUAACUUCAGAUCCUGGCUUUGCCACUUACUAGCAGCGUAAUGGGAAAGUAACUGACUUAGCCUCUCUCUCCCUCAGGUUCCUUACCUGUAAAAUAGAGAUCAUAUAGAGAUGUCGGGAAGAUUUAAUAACAUCAUGCAAGCAAUAUGCCUACAAGAGUGCCUGUAAAACAUUAAGCCUUGGUAAAUGUGAGCUAUAAUGCUUCCUAUAAAAUACCUUAUCAAGUUAUACCAUUAGUGUUAUAUUCUGAAUUUUAUUGAAGUUCAACGCAAGAAAUAAUUGUGUGAGGAACUGAUAUUGAAGACAUUAUUCAUUAUGUUGUUAUUUAGUGUAUAUAAUUAAAAAAUAUUUUUGGCCAGGUGCGGUGACUCACACCUGUAAUCCCAGCACUUUGGGAGGCCAAGGUGGGCGGAUCAUGAAGUCAGGAGGUCGAGACCAUUCUGGCUAACACAGUGAAACCCUGUCUCUACUAAAAAUACAAAAAAUUAGCUGGGCGUGGCGGUGGGUGCCUGUAGUCCCAGCUAUUUGGGAGGCUGAGGCAGGAGAAUGGCGUGAACCUGGGAGGCAGAGGUUGCAGUGAGCCGAGACCGCGCCACUGCACUCCAGCCUGGGCGACAGAGCGAGACUCCAUCUCAAGUAUAUAUAUAUAUAUAUUUUUGACAGAUAUUUAGAAUUUUAUGUCAGGAAAAAUCCUUGUGAAGACAGGACAGGCAUUCAUUAACCAGAUAAUACGUGUUAUUAUCUUGUCUUAAGUUUCAAAUACAAUGACCAUCUUUUCUUUUUUUUUUUUUUCCAAAAAAGUAGAACUACCUUGCCAUUUCCUUUGCUUAGUAAUUUCUGGUCUCAUUGAAAUUAUUAUUUUUUACUAGAUGUUUAAAUUAAAAGGACAAUAUAUAACUGGGUACAUGCAUAUGGGAAAACAAAACUAUAGUACAGAAGGCUAUAUAAUAGUAAAUUUGUUACAUCCUUCCUGAAUCAACCUCCACAGCUUUGUGUAUAUCCUUCUGUAAAUUUUGUAUGCAUAUAUUUACAUAGGGAUUAGUAUGUGUAUAUAUGCAUGUGUGUUUCUUUAAAAAAAAAACCCACACAAAUGGGAACAUAUUGUGUCCACAAUUUUGUUGUUGUUGUUGUUGUUUUCUUGUUUGAGAUAGGGUCUUACUCUGUUGUCCAGGCUGGCAUGCAGUGGUGUGAUCAGGGCUCACUGCAUCCUCGACCUCCUGGGAUCAAUCCAUCCUCCUGCCUCAGCCUCCUAAGUAGCUGGGACCAUAGGCACAUGCUAUCACACCCAACUAAUUAUUGUAGUUUUUGUAGAGACAGGGUUUUGCCAUGUUGCCCAGCCUGUUCUUCAACUCCUGGGCUCAAACGAUCUGCAUGCCUCUGCUUCCCAAAAUGCUGUGAUUACAGGCAUGAGCCAAGAUGCCUGGCCAAUGUCCAUAGUUUUAUACAAAUAUUUUUACUUCACUUUGUCUUAGACACCUUUCCAUAUCAAUUUCUAUUAGUUCUCCUUCAUUCUUUUUACAGUUUCCGAGUUCAAUUUAUUAUUAUCUGUUGAAAAAGCCUUUUGUUGUUAGUUGCUAGAAUAUUUAAUUUAAUUACAUCACAUUUACUUCCAAAAAAAAUGUAGGAGCUAAAAACUCACUGGAAAGCAACUAUUAAUAAGUUGGAAACUUGUGCACUACUAUAUGUAGGUUAUUUAGUUAAACCACUCCCCAAAAUGCUUUAAGAAAUUCUGCCCCUGCCCCCGCAGCACUAUUCCUUAAAGGAAACAUUGUUCUUUUAAUUGUGGAAUCUUAAGUAGAAAACUUUCAAGUAAGACAAUGAUUUCUGAAAAUAUGAAGAAAAAUGACAUGAAAACUAGGCAAAUGGCUCUGAUUUUAUAUUUUUAUACUAAAAGAAUAUCAUCAGUAACCUAAAAAUAAUUAGAACCAGAUUAACAAAAACAUUGGUUUGUAAUGUUUAUAUUUUCUUAAUUGUUAGAUGAAUUAAAUGAUUCCUAUUUUAAGGGGACUAUUCUUUGAUUGCUUGUUUACAUUGGCUAAUGACUGAAGUUCUGUUUAAUGUUCAAUCUUCUCAAUCUUUUUAUUCCUGCCCCAGCUCCUAUCUCUGUCAGUCAUCCUAUAUACCAAGCUCUCUGAAUUCAAGCUCACUUCUUUAUCUUUUACUGAAGAUGACAUGAAAUGGUUUUUCUACUAACAACCAUCCCCUGGCAUACUUCCUGAUUCACUAAAACUAUUAUGAGUAGCCACAACAUUGUGUUCAUUACAUUUUAAAAUACUUUUUAACACAGAUAAAAUUAUUGAAUUUUAGGAAAUAAAAGAAGCAGAACUGUAACAUCCUGAGAAAACACAGAGACAUUGAAGUAUAUGAGCACGACACAUCUGCAAAUCUUUAAGCAAAAUGAUUUCUUUUCCUGCCUGCACUUUCUUUGAGGUUGCAGUAGAGAGUGUGUGUCUACAGAAGGUACUGUAUGCAUAGCUAUAAGGAGGUCUUACCCUCUGUCUUUUUAUCUUUCUGGGCCCUUCUUUACCCUUGUUCUUCCUCUUCUCCUCUCUUAAUUCUAUAAUGGGUCUUCACAUAUUGCUGUACCUUCUCAUGUUACUUGAAUAGAAUUUUGAUACUUAAUCUGAAAAGCUGAUAAGUGAAAACAUUUGUUUUGUGGUAUAUUAAGUACUUUAUUGAAAUUAUUAAUUUCACAUAUUUUAAAGUUAUAUAGCUUUUAGCUAAUUUUUUGGAUAAUUUCCCUAUCUUUGUUUUUAUUAAAGAUAAUAGGGCCAAGCGCGGUGGCUCAUGCCUGUAAUUCCAGCACUUUGGGAAUCUGAGGUGAGCAGAUCACCCUGAGGUCAGGAGUUUGAGACCAGCCUGGCCAACAUAGCGAAAACCAAUCUCUACUAAAAAUUACAAAAAUUAGUCAGGCUUGGUGGUGUGCACCUGUAAUCCCAGCUACUUGGGAAACUGAGGCAGGAGAAUCGUUUGAACUUGGGGGGCGGAGGUUGCAGUGAGCCGAGAUCACGCCACUGCACUCUAGCCUGGGCAACAGAGUGAGACUCUGUCUCAAAAAAAGAAAAAAAAAAGAUAAUAGAGAAAAAAGAAGAUGAACAGGCAAAAUAAUAUUGGAAAAACCUAAAUCUGUUGCCAGCACAUUUCCAGCUUUAACCUGUAACCAGUAGUUAGGUAGUUUUUUGUUGUUGUUGUUCCUUCUGUUGGGGGAAAGUCUAUAACUGGGGCUGUGUCAAUACAAGAUGAAAUGAAGUACAAUAAAAAGAGAGCCUACCUAUAAGUUCAUCCAUCUCAGAGAAAGUGCUGGGCAGCAAUGACAAAUUUUUAUCAAUUGUCCAAAUGUUUCAGCCAUGAUGCAUGAACAGCAAACUCCUAAGUGCUGUACAUAAUGUUUGAAAGGAAUAGAACUUAUUCCUCUUCCCAAAGUAGAUGGGAGUUCCCUAACUCCCCACCUCCCCAUACCAAACACAAUCUGGGAAAGAUGCUAAUAUCCCCAGGUGAAUCAGCCCAAAGGCAGUCAGCAUAUAGGAAGAGAAAUUCAAACCUAGAUGGUCAAUCUUUAAAUGAUCCAGCACUGACUAGACAGGUUUAGUUUUCAAGCAGAAUCAUGCACUGGUCAUUUUCUUCUGUUGCAGAUCUACUCUAAAUUCUCAAGUCUUCCUAGAGAACAGUAGACACAGCAAUAUAACCAGAUUCAAAACUCAAAUCUAUGCUGCCCUAACAGGCUUGAAGGAAAGUUGGAUCAUUUCUAAUUGCCUCUCAAGAGAGAAGCAGGGCAUGCCUAGGCACCUCAGCCCCACCUACUAUCCACAGACUCAUAUGGGUGCCAAGCUGGCUAUACAGCCACCACCACCAGUAGAAUUUAUCAAAUGCAUUGAACAAGGACUGGUUGGCAGCCAAUUUGUACCUACCCUACUGGUUUUCUAGGAGUCCGGAAGGAAGGGUUGGGGAUAAGAUUCUUAAAUAUACAGAGACAUCAACAACAUUGUUAGGCCCUCAGAUUGAGCUAGUUCUGCUAACACACUGCAUGAUAUGUAAGCACAUGCAUUUGUGUUUGCUCAUUAGAGCCUAUACAUUAUGUAGUAAAAUGAAAUCUCCCAGCUUCUACUUUACCCCCUCUUUAAUCGAUCUCCAACACUGCAGCCAGGGUAAUCUUAAAUCCGCCAAUCUAAGUAUUGCCUUUUCUCCGCUUUAAAAACACUCCUUGUUCACAGCAGCAGCUGCCUGUUGAUAAUGAGAAUCAGCUGUGGAACUUUUUAAAAAAUUAAAAUUCUCCAACUAUACGCAGAGAUUCUGGUUCCAUGGCUGUAGGGUGGGGAACUCAGGAACCUCAAUUUUUAAAUUAUAAGCCACGUUUGCGGCCUGCUACUUUAGUUCUUCCAAAUGGUUUUUGCAUAUUUAGUUCAUAUGAGUCACACAAUGACUUCCGAAAAAGGUCCAUGAGACUAGAUCUGGCAACCACCGAGCAGUGAUGUAUGUGUUUCACAUACGUGUGCAAAGAACAGGCGCUGUUUAAAACUGCCAGUGUUUUACGCUCCAGGUGCCUCAGCCCCUGCCUCAGCAGCUAAGGAUAUGAUGUGCACAGGACGGUACAGCUACAAGAUGGUGGAGCCUCCAUCAGUCUGGAUCCCUAUGUAACUAUAUGGAUCAGAGCCCCUGCUCCCAAUACAACCCAAAAUUGGAUAUGUAAGAGGAACAAGAAAUACAUCAAGAAAUAUACACCUAUUUCAGCAAGUCACUUAGGUUUAGGGGUUCAUUUGGCAUCACAGAAUAAGCUUAGCUUAUUUUGACUGAUAGAUUUUGCAAAUGAUUAAGUUACAUUUUUAAUGAUAUAUUAAUAUGCUAAAGAUCACCUGAUUUGUUAAUGAUUUUGCUUUUCAAUUGUCUCUUGCCAUGUCUAUAUUCUGAAAAGUAUUCUGAGAUUGCGAAACUAUUCAUUUACCUUUUGUGUAUGUGAAUAAGUAUUUUCUUAAUACAACCAGAGGAAAACCAACAAACAACAAAAGCAAAAUGGGGAGAAUGCGGAGUUGCUGAAGCUAAAAAGAAUCUGUCGAUCAUUUAUCCUCCCAGUUUAAAAAUUUGGUUUCCUAUCAGCCUUAUUCUCUCAAUAAAUAUCUUUAUAAUCAAAAUGUAAAUUUGAACUUGUAAAACACAUGUAGGCUCAUAAAAUGCCAUUUUUAUGUUUUACAUACUGUUCUCCCAUAAAAGUACACUAGAAAAUGGUUGAAAAUAAUUACUUUAAGAGCUACAAAGAAUACAUCUCAAUUGUCUUUCACACAAUGCCCUUAACAUACUAAUCGCAACCUUAACCAUAAGACAUGAGCGGGGCCUUGGUGUUUAUCUAGUCAAGCCUUUCAUUUUUAUGGAUUGGGUCAUCAAGGCCGAGAGAGGUCAAGUGUACCUCUCAAGGUCACACACUUGGAAAAGAACAGAGCCAGAACGCAGGGUUUGCCCAUGGGAAAUGCUGCCACAUGACAUUUCCCUCCAUCUUUUACUCAAGCAAUUAACUGUUACUCUCUCAGUUCACCCAAACAUUUGGUUAAAGUGGCAUGAUGUCCCACAGCGGGUUUUCUGGCUGUGAAAGCUAGGUCAAACUAUUGACUUAUUUAUGUAUUGAGAUGUAGCUUUCUGAUCUGUAAAAUAAGAGCAAAUAGUGCCUAACUUGGAGCUCUUCUAUUAUUAGAAAGGACAUGAUGUAUGUAUUAGGCCCAUUGUUCUUUGGCUGUAAAUUAAAAAAAAAAAAAAUUCUAUUGAUUCCCUUCAGAAUUUCAGCCUAUUCUUCUAGACCAGGGAACAGCAAACUAUGGCCCAUGAACCAAAUCUGGCCGGCCAUCUGUUUUUAUAAAUUUGGUUUCCUUUGAACACAGCCAUGCCCAUUCAUUUAUGUAUUGUCUGCGGCUGCUUUGGGACUAUAUCAGCAGAGCUGACUAGUGUGACAGAGACUUUAUGGCCCAAAAAGCCUAAAAUAUUUGCUCCCUGGCCCUUUUCAGAAAAAUUCUGUUGGACUGUAUUCUAAACUGUUGGGAUCAUUUUGAUUCUUUCACCCACAGUGACAUUCGGUAUCCCUAAUUACUGAGUCAACCAUAAAUUUGCCUCUGUUAAGGUUGUUCAUAAAAAUAUUUAAUGAGACAUGAGAAAGGAAAGUCACAAGACACAGGUCAACUGACACCUUCAAGGAUGACAAUGACUACCACUCAUUGAACACAUUAAUCUAAAGAAGUAUGAAUCCACUAAAUGCUACCAUCACCCAGAACUCAUUUAUCAACAAUGCCACAUAUUAGUUAAACAUCUUUCUAAUACGCAGAAGAUAAGGUACAGACUCCAAGUGAUCACUGCUUUCCCCUCUGAAAUGGUUUCAAGUCUAUGAUGUUUCUAUACCCUUCAACUCCAUUUCAAUAGCAUUUUAAAAAUUCGGGCUAUUCGCCUAACUACAGUUUUCUGGCAGAUGUCUCAUUAUCCAGCUACAGAAUGGCUAGCUGUAACCAAACCUGAUUCUUCUUUUUUCUGGGCACAUAGUGAGCCUACAUUUCCCAGAUUCCUUUUUGGGCAGCAGUGCUCAAGUGAUUAUUUUUUAGCCAAUGGAAGGACUGCAAAAAUGGUGUGUGCUACUUCCAGGCCUGGCCAGAGAGUCCCUAUUGGUGAUCUCCAUGCUCUUUUCUUUUCACAUACUUGUAGCAGAUGAACAUGGUGACUUGAGAAGCCAUUUAUUAAAUAUGACAGAGCCUUGAGAUAGAAGGUACCUAGGUCCUUGAACCCACCCUUAGUGGAGAGCCACCACCACCCAGGAACUCCAAAUGUAGACUCAAACAAGAAUAAACUUCUCUUGUAUUUAAGCCAUUUUAUAUAUUUUGAAGUUUGUUACAGGAGGGAGUAUAACUGUCAAAAAUACACUAUGAUUCCUGUAAGGUUACUACCAAAGGUUUUGUGACCACAUAGGAAAAUAUUCUGGUUUUCUGGACCAAGAGGUUUCAAUUCAUGUAAAGUAGAUGUAGGUGUUCUUUCACUGUAUCCCUGUGUGCCUUAGCCUAAAAAUUUCAAUUUUACAGUAUUUGUUUUGUACUUCCUUGUAGCUCAUUCUUCUUAAUUGAGAAAAAUAAAGCAAAACUGUGGCCAAGUGUGGUUGUGCACACCUGUAGUCACAGCAACUUGGGACACUGAGCUGGGAGGAUCUCUUGAGCCCAGGAGUUCAAGCCUAGCCAGGGCAAUAUGGCAAGACCCCAUCUCUUAAAAAAAAAAUUAAAUAGGCAUUAAACUUACUCUUUCUUUUAAUAAAUUGUUAAACAACACAAGCCUCACCCAUCCAUCUUGUUCUCCUUUAUUGUAGGACUUUCCUUUUCACUAGUUUUUUUGGUGCUUAUAUAACCUCACUCUAUGUUUUGGCCUGAUACUCUUUCACAGUUUUAUGCCAGUCUUUUUUGUUUGUUUUUUGUCCCUGGUAAUAUGUUCCUCUUUUGUUUCUUCUAAGAACUAAGCUCAGAAAACAGCUUGCCAAAUCACACUGGUAUCGCCCCAUUUUGCUUUCUUAUUAAGAUUACUCAUGACUUUGUUUGCCAGAGUUUGAUUUUUUGGGUAUGCUACUAAUACUCAAUUAAGAAACCCUAUUCUACUGGAUGUUGAGAAAGAUUCAGCGCUCCCAUAACCACCUUACACCUCUGGCAACUUUUAUAGUCUGUUUGUAAAAAGCCUUAUUUCAUCCUGUAUCUAGACACAAUAUUCAAUAUUCUUUAACACUCGUACUUUAGUAUGCUGUGCGUGGAGAUAACAUGCUUCUAUUGAUCCUGAUGCUUCUCCAUCUCAUUUACAGAGAAGAUGCAGGGCAGGCUGUUGCCACUUCCUGACAUAUCUUUCUGGGCUUGCUCUUUCAGCCCCACGUUUUCACUCACUAGCUUCAAAAGCUAUGAGGUCCCAUUCAAGACAUCCUACUCUCUAAAGCCUUCUUUAUACCAGUUUGACUUAGCUUCAAUUGGCACAGAAAAAUCUGGGAAUGAAAGAUGUGAUUGUAAGCUCAUAUGGCAAAAAGAAGAAGACAGCUGUGUGCAAAAAAGUUUAUGGCUAACAGAAUGAUGUUUCUUUAGCUAGCAAAUUUAUAUGUUGUAAAUGUCAUUAGCAUGAUUGGAUGUAUUUGAUAACUUGUAGAGUUAUACUACUGUCUAUGUAGAUGCUUUCUUAAAAUUUUAGUUAAAAAGUAUAGAAGUGAGUUUUACCUCAGUGAAUUUCUGCAACAUGCAUAUAAGCUUGUCAUAAAUAAAUGAAGUAAAUUUACUUUAUAGUAUGCAUAUGUUCUAGUUUGAUUUUGGAACUAGUAAAAAGCAUGCUAUGUAUUCUUUCAAGUAUUGUGAACAAACAUAGGGUGUAUUUGUUAAAAACAAAGUUGUAACUAUUAUUGCAAGAAUUUGAACAUUGAAUCACUGGCAAAAUUUGAAUUUCAAAAUUUUAAAUUUGUCUUUCUCAGAUGUAAUUUAAAUAUAAUCAGUUUAGGGUAUUUCUAAAAAUUGAUUUGCAAAGAAAUAAAUGUUAUUUUUAUGCUAUCGAA